rnacentral:pre_miRNA from 1 species
GUCACCUGGGGAUCUUGGUAAAAUGCAGGUUCUGAUUCAGUCUGUCAAGAGUGGGAAUAGGAGUCUGCAUUUCUAACAAUCUCCCAUGUGAUGUCAA